rnacentral:rRNA from 1 species
AAGAAACCAACAGGGAUUGCCCUAGUAACGGCGAGUGAAGCGGCAACAGCUCAAAUUUGAAAUCUGGCUCUUUCAGGGUCCGAGUUGUAAUUUGCAGAGGGCGCUUUGGCGUUGGCAGCGGUCCAAGUUCCUUGGAACAGGACGUCACAGAGGGUGAGAAUCCCGUACGUGGUCGCUGGCCUCCGCCGUGUAAAGCCCCUUCGACGAGUCGAGUUGUUUGGGAAUGCAGCUCUAAAUGGGAGGUAAAUUUCUUCUAAAGCUAAAUACUGGCCAGAGACCGAUAGCGCACAAGUAGAGUGAUCGAAAGAUGAAAAGCACUUUGGAAAGAGAGUCAAAUAGCACGUGAAAUUGUUGAAAGGGAAGCGCUUGCAGCCAGACUUGCCUGUAGUUGCUCAUCUGGGCUCUUGCCCGGUGCACUCUUCUGCGGGCAGGCCAGCAUCAGUUUGGGCGGUUGGAUAAAGGUCUCUGUCAUGUACCUCUCUUCGGGGAGGCCUUAUAGGGGAGACGACAUGCAACCAGCCUGGACUGAGGUCCGCGCAUUUUGCUAGGAUGCUGGCGUAAUGGCUGUAAGCGGCCCGUCUUGAAACACGGACCAAGGAGUCUAACAUCUAUGCGAGUGUUUGGGUGUCAAGCCCGAACGCGUAAUGAAAGUGAACGGAGGUGGGAACCCGUAUGGGUGCACCAUCGACCGAUCCUGAUGUCUUCGGAAGGAUUUGAGUAAGAGCAUGGCUGUUGGGACCCGAAAGAUGGUGAACUAUGCUUGAAUAGGGUGAAGCCAGAGGAAACUCUGGUGGAGGCUCGCAGCGGUUCUGACGUGCAAAUCGAUCGUCAAAUUUGGGCAUAGGGGCGAAAGACUAAUCGAACUAUCUAG